UAGCCUAGUGGUUAAGGCUUUGGAUCGCCAAUCCAGAGACGGCGGGUUCGAUUCCCGGU
rfam:Aedes albopictus isolate Foshan contig32118, whole genome shotgun sequence.